rnacentral:rRNA from 1 species
GACGAACGCUGGCGGCGUGCCUAAUACAUGCAAGUAGAACGCUGAAGGAGGAGCUUGCUUCUCUGGAUGAGUUGCGAACGGGUGAGUAACGCGUAGGUAACCAGCCUGGUAGCGGGGGAUAACUAUUGGAAACGAUAGCUAAUACCGCAUAACAGUAGAUAUCGCAUGAUAUCUACUUGAAAGGUGCAAUUGCAUCACUACCAGAUGGACCUGCGUUGUAUUAGCUAGUUGGUGAGGUAACGGCUCACCAAGGCGACGAUACAUAGCCGACCUGAGAGGGGGGUCGGCCACACUGGGACUGAGACACGGCCCAGACUCCUACGGGAGGCAGCAGUAGGGAAUCUUCGGCAAUGGACGGAAGUCUGACCGAGCAACGCCGCGUGAGUGAAGAAGGUUUUCGGAUCGUAAAGCUCUGUUGUAAGAGAAGAACGAGGGUGAGAGUGGAAAGUUCACACUGUGACGGUAUCUUACCAGAAAGGGACGGCUAACUACGUG